UUUUCACGGACGCCAACAUGGCCUGGCCAGAGGAGCCAGGUCGCGUCUUCAGGUGUUUGGAUGGAGCUGCGGGUGCGGUUCUUCAUCGGGUGGCUGAGCUCGAUCAGUGUGUGAAGGAGAACCUGGCUCAUAUCGGGAGGUGUUCAGAGGACCUGGCUUCUGGUGGCUGCUGAAGCUUCUUCUCCAGAUUUGAAGGGCUGCAGUCCUCAGGAGACCCCCAGCGCUUCUAUCCACGGUGGGAUAUCAUGGCUGCUCAAGUGGGGGUUGACAUAUGCAGUUGGUUAAAAGAUCUUCCUGGCGAUUUGAUAUUGUAACACGGAUUCUUCCCAGUUUUUUGAACUAUCUUUGAUUGGAAAUGCAUAUAUAAAGCAUCAGAAACAUUACGUCAGAACACUUGGGAAACACUUCCUUGAUUAUUUAAUACACUAUCCAGUUGAAGAAGACAUCUGUUUGGGUAACAUGAAGAUUUACGUUUUUGUGUGUGCUUCAUCACAAUAUCCAUUUCAUAUGUGCUGAAGAAGAAAUUUCCCCAGAAUUAUCUUCAGAUGUACUAUUAUAAUAAAUAUUUAGCAAAUGAGUAUAACAAGUUGAAGUGGAUGAAACUCUUCACAAAAGGGAUACUGUGGACUUACCGUGUCAUCCCCGAAUUUAUAUGUUGAGACUCUAUUCCCCAGUUUGUAAUAUUAUCUGGAAGUUGGGCCUUUGGAAAGUAAUUAAGUUUAGAUGAGGUUGUGGGGGUGCAGCCCCAAUGGUGGGAUCAGUGCCUUUGUAGUAACAGAGACAAGAGAGAGAUCUCUUGCUCUCUCCCCAUCAUGAGGAGGUGGGUGAGGAUGGAGGGCUGUCUUCCAAACUGGAAGAGGCCCUUCCUCAAACAUUGAGUCUUCGAAUUCCUUAAUCUUGAACUUCCCAGGCUCCAGAACCAUGAGAAAUAAGUUUCUUUUAUAAGCCACAUAGUCUGUGUGGUAUUCUGUUAUAACAGUCUGAACUGACUAAGCCAAAGGACAGUACAUAUGUCAGUAUUUUUCCACUUGUAAAGCACUUUUGGGCUUUGAUGAUGAUAAAGACCAAAGCAUAGAAAUGGAUUGUUUCCUAGACACUUUGUUUUUAUAUCUUCUGCAUUUAACUUCAAGUAUAGGAAAGUUUGAAUGAAAUUAGUAAACACAUGAAAAUUUUUAACUUCAGGAAUGUGUUUUAUAGAUAUUUCAUGUAAUACAUAUCUUUAGAUGUAAUUUAUCGUGUGUGUGUAUGCCAAAAAAUUUGUAAACUUUUCCUAUUACUGAAGAAAUAUAAUAAAUACAGUAUUUUAUACUAAA